UCCUCACGUGUAACGUAGCCCACUGCCGCAGUAGUGCAUUAGAGCGGCAUGAUUGAAUCCGUUUCCAAAGAAGCAUCGGCCCCAGAUUCCCCUGGUUCCACGUGCUGCCAGCCCAGCGAGCCUGCAGGAAGCACCUCUUGCGAGUGAAUUUCACUUGGACCAGUAAAGCCAUCUAGAUUUGUUUAAAUAGUUCAUCUCCAGAGUGUGAUGUGCAAGCCUACAAAUCAUCAAUCCACCACAAAUGGUAUGCACAGCAGGAAAUGGUCAGUGGAGCUGAUCGUAACUGUGGGAUGAUAAGGAUGAAUGUUUUUCACCAAGCAUACAAGUGAGAUUUAGAAGUGAGACAACUAGAGCAUAGGCCCAAGCUGGAGUAACCUCACAAAGACAGACAGCAGACAUGCAGCAGUGAGUAACUGCAUCUGUGGGCCUUCAGUUACAGACACUGCCAAAUUGAGUGGUGCAAUCUGAAGUAAAGAUGGAGGAGCAAGUCAUAUUCAGCCAUCGACCAGCAGCGGAAAUAGAGCAAGCAGAAAAUGCACCCACUCUAUCCCUGUCUGGGACAGUUGACUCCCGUAAUGAGAAGGAAGCCACCCUGCAACAGUACAGCAUCAGCAUGGAGAAGCACCACAAACACUUUAGACAGUUCUGCUGUCAGGAAGUAGAAGGACUCCAAGAGGUUUACAGCCGACUGUGAACUUUCCCAUCUGUGGCUGCAGACGGAGAUCCAUACGAAGGAGCAGAUCAUCGAGCUGCUGGUUCUUGAGCAAUUCCUGACCAUCUUGCCUGAGGGAAUCCAGACAUGGGUCCAGAGACUUCAUCCAGAAACAUGUGAGGAGGUUAUUGCCCUGGUAGAGGAUUUCCACCUAAUUCAUCAGGAGAUUGGGAAAUGUGGGCAAAAGGUAAGGAUCACUGAAUGUUAAUUCAGAGGAGGGAAGAGGAGAGAGGUGAGAUGAUGGAGAGAGUGAGGGAGAGAUUGUUAGUGAAUGUGUAAAAUAAAGUAUUUUUGAACUCUAAACAAUUCUGUUAUCACCUGAGGUGAACCCACUAAUUUUAUUUUGUAUUGGUUGAAUACUCAUGUCUAGAAAGAGUCCUGACUAUGACAGAAUAUUGCCAGCUUAUUUACUUUCUUGAGCCUUCAGUUCUUGAGUCCCUGGCAGAGUGCUAUCAGAUGAUAGCCAUGGGGAGGGGAAGCCUAAUCUUCUGUCAGGGAAUGUGAUAGUGGGUUGAAGAGGAAUAUGCUAGUGGUACUUUGAAAAUGGUCUUGAUUCUGGAUGUAGCUCUGAGAUGGUCCAAGCUUGAGCCCAUGAAGAGCUGACCUGAGAGCGGAGAAAGUAUACUACUUCCAAAGCAAAGAGAAGGAAGAAAAGCUAUCGAGGGAGAAGGUAAAGAGAGAAAUAGUCUGUCCCCCACAUUUAAUUUUAUUUCAAGUGACUCUUAAUGUGGUGACUUCUUUGCAUAUGAAUUUUUCUAAAUCUCCAUCUCUCUCCUUAUUCUUCAACCUGACCCUCCCCCACUUCUGUCUCCUUCAUUCUCUUUUCCCAACACAUUUUUCCCUAACCUGUCCUGUCUCCCUUUUUAUCCCCCAUGCACACACUCCCUCCCCUCUUUUCCUUUCUUCUCUUCUUCCACUUCAUCACAAAGAACCAAACCACAACCCUAAUUAGAUUGACCCUGUGCCUGUACAGCCUGUGACUGAGCAGCAGGAUUGUCACUGACUAUGCAUAUAUUGAAUGGGGUACAGCUGUUUCAGAUUCCAGUGACACUGGAAGAUGUGGCUGUGUAUUUCACCAAGGAGGAGUGGGGUCGUCUGGACAAAAGGCAGAGGGAGCUCUACAGGGAUGUCAUGCAGGAGACUUUGAAGACUGUUCUCUCUGGGUAAAGAUUAAUUUCCCCUCAUUACUUAAAAGCUGUGUGGUCUCCCAAGAACUGUGGCUCACGGUUCUUCUCUUGGAUUUCUAAGGGCUCGGUCCUUGUGGUCCCUAGAAACUUUGUGUGAGAGAGACAGUCACUGCCAUGCAACCAUUUUUUUUUUCUCUGAAUUGCCCUUUUAAUCGGAGGAGGUGAUCUGUAGUCGCACCUCAGCCCCAUCCUUGUGGUUUAGCUGUGGAGUACAAUCAUAGAAGUGCCCCAUCCACCCUCCCUGGGACUAAUCCUCAGGAGCUCUGAGGCUAAUGCCUCUGAAGCUGCUUGACUUUGAGAAAUCGGUAAGGGUAUUAACAUUUGCACUGCUCAUGACUUACCUAGUCCCCCAUGUGUGGAUAUCCUUGAGUCUCCAACAGGGAAACAAAACAACUUCAGUCUUCAGAUACACAUUUUACUUCCUCAGUGGGUUUCUGUGGACAUAAUCUCAUCUGUUGGGAUUCUGUAAUCCCUGCCUCCAUGAAAGAACAGGUUGGGUUCACAGCUAUGAUACUUUAUUUGUAAUAAAUGCUCAACAAAUACAUAACAAACCAUGGUAUUGCCUGGACUGUUUUCCCAUGGGCAGGAUUUGAGACUCCAAAACCUGAUGUGAACUCUCAGAUGGAACAAGAGGAAGAGCCUUGCAUCCUAGAUUGUCAGGAUGCCAAAGAAAGGGUAAUACCAAGAGAAGUUGGCACAGCAGGUGAUGGGAUCCAGAGCAGAACUGAGAAGGAGCAUCCCGUAGAGGAUCCUGAAGAUCUGGUGCUUGGCAUUCUGUUACUGAGGCACUCAGCAGAGCGCUUUUCCCAGAGUGGUCUGCAGGAGGCAGCAUAGGUUAGUGUCAAAAAAGAAAGCCAAUGGAGGAUGAGCGAGAGACCCUGAAAUCCCCUUUCACUUUCCUUUGGGAGGACUCUCACUCUCCUUGUGCAGCAGAGACCUGAGAAAAGCAAGAGACCAUGUACUUCUUAUGCAUGUACGGAAAACCUCAAGGAGCAGAGGGACCUGAAAAGCUCUGAGAACAGCAACCACAUGUGAAGGAAAUCCUGUAAGUACAGAGCUUGUGGGAAAAGCUUCAGGCUGAAGCAGGAGCUCACAGCCCAUGGGAGAGUCCACAGAAAGGAGACCCUCUAUUAAUGUCCUGCCUGCUAUAAAAGCUUCAGUUGCCCAUCACACCUUAUAAGACACCAGAGAACCCACACUGGCGAGAGACCUUACCACUGUCCUGGGUGUGGAAAAAGUUUCGGUCAACCCACGCACCUGACUAGAUACCAGAAAAUGUUCAUGGGAGAGAGGCCCUUCCUCUGUCCUGAGUGUGGGAAGAGCUUCAGCUGGCUCUGCAAUCUCCAUAUCCACCAGCAAAGCCACACAGGGGAGAGACCCUACCUCUGUCUGGAAUGCGGAAAGAGCUUCCCUCACAAAUCACAUCUCACCACAUACCACAGGACUCACAAUGGGGAGAGACUCUACCCCUGUCCCCAGUGUGGGAAAAGCUUCAGCACCUAGUCCAAUCUGACAAAGCACCAUAGAAACUGCCACACAGGGGAAAUACCCCAUCUGUACCCUGCCUGGAUGGAGGCAUCAGUCAUAAAAAACCUCUUGUAAAAACAAGGAUCCUGGAUGUGAAGAAUCCACUAAAGGUCAAGACCCUGGGACUGAAGUACCAGGCCCAGUGCCCACACAAGGAGAACUCCCCUGAGGCCCAGGAAACAAAGUCCUGGGCCCAUGUUCAGACAUUGGACAUGGAGAACUCAACUGAGGCCCAGGUUCAGACCUUUGGCACAGAUGUUAAGAACUUAGCUCAAGCCCAGACCCCAGACACAAAGAAUUCAGCUGAGGUCCAGGCCUGUGUUCAGACACCGGACAUGGAGAGCUUGGCUGAAGUCCAGACCCUGGGAAUGGAGUACCAGGACACCAAGAACUCCCCUGAGGCCCAGGUUGUGGAAACAGAGGCCCAGACCCAUGCUGAGAUCCCAAACAUGGAGAACUCUGCUGAGGCCCAAGCCUUGGGAAUAGACUACCAGCCCCAGUUCCUAACCCAAUCCAUGGCCAUGAAGAACCUUGAUGGGGGCCAGGUCCUGGCCAAGGAGGACUGAGCUGAGACCCUGGUGGACCCAACUGAUACUGUGAUGGUAGAGCGCUGCACUAUUGAUUUUAUCCUACUUGUGUAUGUAUGAGGCAGUAAUACUUAGACCUCAGUGGUUUAGGAGCCAAAUUAGUGAUCAACGUUACCUAGAAGAGCCACAGUAGUGUGAAUUCAUUGUUUCAUUUACUGUAUAUAAUAUUCUCACAGCAAAAUGACUGACCACGUAUUCUACAAUUGGCUAAUAACAUAGUAAAAGCGUCCUGAUUGGGUAAGAAUUAAAUCACACAUUAUUUUAAUAUCAUGUAGUGCAAAAAGCUGCAAGAGACAUUAAAGAGCCACUUGCAGCUCCUGAGACUCAGUCUCUGUAUCACUGAUAUAAGGUAUAGCUUGUGAACAGGAUGAGCAGAAAGCACAAAUGCAGUGACUGAAACCAGUCUACUGCUCCUUGCUACUCCCCUGAUGGAGAGAAACUCCUGAAGAAUGUGGAGGGGCUUCACUUUAUUCUUCUGAAGAAUCUUAGUGACUAGUGUCUCAUAGCUGGCUGUUUCCUUGCCAGGCAUUAAAUAAAGUAUGAGUUUAACCCUCCCAUAGACCCAUUCUGGUCUAUCAUCUUUGCACUUAUUCUAGAUCCUGGCUUGGCUCUCAGGAGUCUCCACUUUGUUUUUAUUAGAG